rnacentral:snRNA from 1 species
GUGCUCACUUCGGCAGCACAUAUGCUAAAAUUGGAAUGAUACUGAAAAGAUUAGUAUGGCCCCUGCACAAGGAUGACAUACAAAUUCAUGAAGCAUUCCAUAUUUUU